rnacentral:rRNA from 1 species
GAGUUUGAUCAUGGCUCAGAUUGAACGCUGGCGGCAUGCCUUACACAUGCAAGUCGAACGGCAGCAUGAUCUAGCUUGCUAGAUUGAUGGCGAGUGGCGAACGGGUGAGUAAUACAUCGGAACGUGCCCUGUAGUGGGGGAUAACUAGUCGAAAGAUUAGCUAAUACCGCAUACGACCUGAGGGUGAAAGUGGGGGACCGCAAGGCCUCAUGCUAUAGGAGCGGCCGAUGUCUGAUUAGCUAGUUGGUGGGGUAAAGGCCCACCAAGGCGACGAUCAGUAGCUGGUCUGAGAGGACGAUCAGCCACACUGGGACUGAGACACGGCCCAGACUCCUACGGGAGGCAGCAGUGGGGAAUUUUGGACAAUGGGGGCAACCCUGGUCCAGCAAUGCCGCGUGUGUGAAGGAGGCCUCGGUUGUAAGCACUUUGUCCGGUAAGAAGUACGCACUACUAAUAUUAGUGUGGAGUGACGGUACCGGAA